GCCCCUUUUAAUGCAGGUCCACGGGCUCCAUCGGGCUUUGCUUGGUGGUGAGAGUGGCGAACGGGUGAGUAAUGCGUGACCGACCUGCCCCAUACACCGGAAUAGCUCCUGGAAACGGGUGGUAAUGCCGGAUGCUCCAGUUGAUCGCAUGGUCUUCUGGGAAAGCUUUCGCGGUAUGGGAUGGGGUCGCGUCCUAUCAGCUUGACGGCGGGGUAACGGCCCACCGUGGCUUCGACGGGUAGCCGGCCUGAGAGGGCGACCGGCCACAUUGGGACUGAGAUACGGCCCAGACUCCUACGGGAGGCAGCAGUAGGA
rnacentral:rRNA from 1 species